CAAUAGCGUAUAUUAAAGUUGUUGCAGUUAAAAAGCUCGUAGUUGGAUUUCGGAGUGGGCCAGUUGGUCCGCCGCAAGGUGUGUUACUGACUGGUUUGCUCUUCUUCGCAAAGACUGCGUGUGCUCUUUAUUGAGUGUGCGUAGGAUUUACGACGUUUACUUUGAAAAAAUUAGAGUGUUCAAAGCAGGCUAUUGCUUGAAUACAUGAGCAUGGAAUAAUGGAAUAGGAUUUUGGUCCCAUUUUGUUGGUUUCUAGGACCGAAGUAAUGAUUAAGAGGGACAAUUGGGGGCAUCCGUAUUUCGUUGUCAGAGGUGAAAUUCUUGGAUUUACGAAAGACGAACAACUGCGAAAGCACUUGCCAAGAGUGUUUNCAUUAA
rnacentral:rRNA from 1 species